rnacentral:rRNA from 1 species
CCCUUAGAUGUUCUGGGCCGCACACGCGCUACACUGAAGGAGGCAGCGUGUACUCCUGGAUCGAAAGAUUUGGGUAACCCGCGAAUCUCCUUCGUGCUAGGGAUUGAGGUUUGCAAUUAUCCUUCAUGAACGAGGAAUUCCCAGUAAGUGCAAGUCAUAAGCUUGCGCUGACUACGUCCCUGCCCUUUGUACACACCGCCCGUCGCUACUACCGAUUGAUUGAUUUAGUGAGGACUUCGGACUGGGACCGAUGCGGCUUUCGGGCUGCGUCGGUAUUCUGGAAAGAUGUCCAAACUGUAUCAUUUAGAGGAAGUAAAAGUCGUAACA